rnacentral:rRNA from 1 species
AGUGAACGCUGGCGGCGUGCCUAACACAUGCAAGUCGAACGGGCUAGUGCUUCGCACUAGUCUCUUUCUGGGGUUGUUACUCUAAGGCUACCUGCUAAAGUUAUUGCUUUAAAGCAGGGGUUUUAGGAGACUUUCCCCGAAAGGGGCCAGUGCGGAGCACUGGCCAGUGGCGAACGGGUGAGUAACACGUGGGUAAUCUACCCUCGAGUGGGGAAUAAGCUUCCGAAAGGGGGUCUAAUGCCGCAUAACGUUUCAUAACGAUGGUUAUGAAACCAAAGCCCAAAAGGCGCUCGAGGAGGAGCCUGCGUCCUAUCAGCUUGUUGGCAGGGUAAUGGCCUACCAAGGCUAUGACGGGUAGCCGGCCUGAGAGGGUGUCCGGCCACACUGGAACUGAGACACGGUCCAGACUCCUACGGGAGGCAGCAGUGGGGAAUUUUGCGCAAUGGGGGAAACCCUGACGCAGCGACGCCGCGUGGAGGAUGACGGCCUCGGUUGGUUAACGUACCGUCGUCGUACGAAGGACGGAAAGUACCGACCAAC